rnacentral:rRNA from 1 species
GUUUGAUCAUGGCUCAGAUUGAACGCUGGCGGCAGGCCUAACACAUGCAAGUCGAGCGGUAACAUGUCUAGCUUGCUAGAUGAUGACGAGCGGCGGACGGGUGAGUAAUGCUUGGGGAUCUGCCUUAGAGUGGAGGAUAACCAUUGGAAACGAUGGCUAAUACUGCAUAGUAUCUGCGGAUUAAAGGGGGCUUAGGCUCUUGCUUUAAGAUGAACCCAAGUGGGAUUAGCUAGUUGGUGAGGUAAUGGCUCACCAGGGCGACGAUCCCUAGCUGGUCUGAGAGGAUGAUCAGCCACACUGGAACUGAGACACGGUCCAGACUCCUACGGGAGGCAGCAGUGGGGAAUAUUGCACAAUGGGCGAAAGCCUGAUGCAGCCAUGCCGCGUGUGUGAAGAAGGCCCUAGGGUUGUAAAGCACUUUCAGUCAGGAGGAAAGGUUAGUAGUUAAUACCUGCUAGCUGUGACGUUACUGACAGAAGAAGCACCGGCUAACUUUGUGCCAGCAGCCGCGGUAAUACGAGGGGUGCAAGCGUUAAUCGGAAUUACUGGGCGUAAAGCGAGCAUAGGCGGCUGAAUAAGCUGGAUGUGAAAAACCGGGGCUCAACCUCGGCCGUGCAUUCAGAACUGUUUAGCUAGAGUCCUGUAGAGGGGGGUAGAAUUUCA